UACGGAGGGAGCUAGCGUUGUUCGGAAUUACUGGGCGUAAAGCGUGCGCAGGCGGCUUCUCAAGUCAGGGGUGAAAGCCCAGAGCUCAACUCUGGAAUUGCCUUUGAGACUGAGUGGCUUGAGUACGAGAGAGGUGAGUGGAAUUCCCAGUGUAGAGGUGAAAUUCGUAGAUAUUGGGAAGAACACCGGUGGCGAAGGCGGCUCACUGGCUCGUAACUGACGCUCAUGCACGACAGCGUGGGGAUCAAACAGG
rnacentral:rRNA from 1 species